UGCGUAGGUGGGCGUGUAAGUUGGAUGUGAAAGCCCCGGGCUUAACCUGGGAGGGUCAUCCAAUACUGCAUGUCUAGAGUAUGGUAGAGGGUAGUAGAAUUUCCGGUGUAGCGGUGAAAUGCGUAGAGAUCGGAAGGAAUAUCAAUGGCGAAGGCAGCUACCUGGGCCAAUACUGACACUGAGGCACGAAAGCAUGGGGAGCAAACAGGAUUAGAUACCCUGGUAGUCCAUGCCGUAAACGAUGAAAACUAGCCGUUGGAUGUCUACGGACAUUUAGUGGCGCAGCUAACGCGAUAAGUUUUCCGCCUGGGGAGUACGGCCGCAAGGCUAAA
rnacentral:rRNA from 1 species